rnacentral:tRNA from 1 species
UCCCUGCUAGCUCAGUUGGUAAAGAGUCUGCCUGCAAUGCAGGAGACCUCAGUUUGAUUCCUGAGUUGGGAA